GUGGGGAAUAUUGGACAAUGGGCGAAAGCCUGAUCCAGCCAUGCCGCGUGUGUGAAGAAGGUCUUCGGAUUGUAAAGCACUUUAAGUUGGGAGGAAGGGCAGUAAGUUAAUACCUUGCUGUUUUGACGUUACCGACAGAAUAAGCACCGGCUAACUUCGUGCCAGCAGACGCGGUAAUACGAAGGGUGCAAGCGUUAAUCGGAAUUACUGGGCGUAAAGCGCGCGUAGGUGGUUUUGUAAGUUGGAGGUGAAAUCCCCGGGCUCGACCUGGGAACUGCCUCCAAAACUGCAUGACUAGAGUACGGUAGAGGGUAGUGGAAUUUCCUGUAUAGCGGUGAAAUGCGUAGAUAUAGGAAGGAACAUCAGUGGCGAAGGCGACUACCUGGACUGAUUCUGACACUGAGGUGCGAAAGCGUGGGGAGCAAACAGGAUUAGAAACCCGGGUAGUCC
rnacentral:rRNA from 1 species